GACGAACGCUGGCGGCGUGCCUAAUACAUGCAAGUCGAACGAAACUUUCUUACACCGAAUGCUUGCAUUCACCGUAAGAAGUUGAGUGGCGGACGGGUGAGUAACACGUGGGUAACCUGCCUAAAAGAAGGGGAUAACACUUGGAAACAGGUGCUAAUACCGUAUAUCUCUAAGGAUCGCAUGAUCCUUAGAUGAAAGAUGGUUCUGCUAUCGCUUUUAGAUGGACCCGCGGCGUAUUAACUAGUUGGUGGGGUAACGGCCUACCAAGGUGAUGAUACGUAGCCGAACUUAGAGGUUGAUCGGCCACAUUGGGACUGAGACACGGCCCAAACUACUACGGGAGGCAGCAGUAGGGAAUCUUCCACAAUGGACGAAAGUCUGAUGGAGCAACGCCGCGUGAGUGAAGAAGGUCUUCGGAUCGUAAAACUCUGUUGUUAGAGAAGAACACGAGUGAGAGUAACUGUUCAUUCGAUGACGGUAUCUAACCAGCAAGUCACGGCUAACUACGUGCCAGCCGCCGCCGUAA
rnacentral:rRNA from 1 species